rnacentral:rRNA from 1 species
AAAGCGUCGGUAAGGUGAUAUGAACCGUUAUAACCGGCGAUGUCCGAAUGGGGAAACCCAGUGCAAUUCGUUGCACUAUCGUUAACUGAAUACAUAGGUUAACGAGGCGAACCGGGGGAACUGAAACAUCUAAGUACCCCGAGGAAAAGAAAUCAACCGAGAUUCCCCCAGUAGCGGCGAGCGAACGGGGAGCAGCCCAGAGUCUGAAUCAGCUUGUGUGUUAGUGGAACGGUCUGGAAAGUCCGACGGUACAGGGUGAUAGUCCCGUACACCAAAAUGCACAGGCUGUGAACUCGAAGAGUAGGGCGGGACACGUGGUAUCCUGUCUGAAUAUGGGGGGACCAUCCUCCAAGGCUAAAUACUCCUGACUGACCGAUAGUGAACCAGUACCGUGAGGGAAAGGCGAAAAGAACCCCGGCGAGGGGAGUGAAAAAGAACCUGAAACCGUGUACGUACAAGCAGUGGGAGCACCUUCGGGUGUGACUGCGUACCUUUUGUAUAAUGGGUCAGCGACUUAUAUUCUGUAGCAAGGUUAACCGUAUAGGGGAGCCGCAGGGAAACCGAGUCUUAACUGGGCGUUAAGUUGCAGGGUAUAGACCCGAAACCCGGUGAUCUAGCCAUGGGCAGGUUGAAGGUUGGGUAACACUAACUGGAGGACCGAACCGACUAAUGUUGAAAAAUUAGCGGAUGACUUGUGGCUGGGGGUGAAAGGCCAAUCAAACCGGGAGAUAGCUGGUUCUCCCCGAAAGCUAUUUAGGUAGCGCCUCGUGAACUCAUCUUCGGGGGUAGAGCACUGUUUCGGCUAGGGGGUCAUCCCGACUUACCAACCCGAUGCAAACUACGAAUACCGAAGAAUGUUAUCACGGGAGACACACGGCGGGUGCUAACGUCCGUCGUGAAGAGGGAAACAACCCAGACCGCCAGCUAAGGUCCCAAAGUCAUGGUUAAGUGGGAAACGAUGUGGGAAGGCACAGACAGCCAGGAUGUUGGCUUAGAAGCAGCCAUCAUUUAAAGAAAGCGUAAUAGCUCACUGGUCGAGUCGGCCUGCGCGGAAGAUGUAACGGGGCUAAACCAUGCACCGAAGCUGCGGCAGCGACACUAUGUGUUGUUGGGUAGGGGAGCGUUCUGUAAGCCUGCGAAGGUGACCUGUGAGGGUUGCUGGAGGUAUCAGAAGUGCGAAUGCUGACAUAAGUAACGAUAAAGCGGGUGAAAAGCCCGCUCGCCGGAAGACCAAGGGUUCCUGUCCAACGUUAAUCGGGGCAGGGUGAGUCGACCCCUAAGGCGAGGCCGAAAGGCGUAGUCGAUGGGAAACAGGUUAAUAUUCCUGUACUUGGUGUUACUGCGAAGGGGGGACGGAGAAGGCUAUGUUAGCCGGGCGACGGUUGUCCCGGUUUAAGCAUGUAGGCUGGUUGUCCAGGCAAAUCCGGAUAAUCAAGGCUGAGGUGUGAUGACGAGGCACUACGGUGCUGAAGUAACAAAUGCCCUGCUUCCAGGAAAAGCCUCUAAGCAUCAGGUAACAUCAAAUCGUACCCCAAACCGACACAGGUGGUCAGGUAGAGAAUACCAAGGCGCUUGAGAGAACUCGGGUGAAGGAACUAGGCAAAAUGGUGCCGUAACUUCGGGAGAAGGCACGCUGGUGUGUAGGUGAAGUCCCUGCGGAUGGAGCUGAGACCAGUCGAAGAUACCAGCUGGCUGCAACUGUUUAUUAAAAACACAGCACUGUGCAAACACGAAAGUGGACGUAUACGGUGUGACGCCUGCCCGGUGCCGGAAGGUUAAUUGAUGGGGUUAUCCGUAAGGAGAAGCUCUUGAUCGAAGCCCCGGUAAACGGCGGCCGUAACUAUAACGGUCCUAAGGUAGCGAAAUUCCUUGUCGGGUAAGUUCCGACCUGCACGAAUGGCGUAAUGAUGGCCAGGCUGUCUCCACCCGAGACUCAGUGAAAUUGAACUCGCUGUGAAGAUGCAGUGUACCCGCGGCAAGACGGAAAGACCCCGUGAACCUUUACUAUAGCUUGACACUGAACAUUGAGCCUUGAUGUGUAGGAUAGGUGGGAGGCUUUGAAGCGUGGACGCCAGUCUGCGUGGAGCCAACCUUGAAAUACCACCCUUUAAUGUUUGAUGUUCUAACGUUGGCCCCUGACCGGGGUUGCGGACAGUGUCUGGUGGGUAGUUUGACUGGGGCGGUCUCCUCCCAAAGCGUAACGGAGGAGCACGAAGGUUAGCUAAUCCUGGUCGGACAUCAGGAGGUUAGUGCAAUGGCAUAAGCUAGCUUGACUGCGAGCGUGACGGCGCGAGCAGGUGCGAAAGCAGGUCAUAGUGAUCCGGUGGUUCUGAAUGGAAGGGCCAUCGCUCAACGGAUAAAAGGUACUCCGGGGAUAACAGGCUGAUACCGCCCAAGAGUUCAUAUCGACGGCGGUGUUUGGCACCUCGAUGUCGGCUCAUCACAUCCUGGGGCUGAAGUAGGUCCCAAGGGUAUGGCUGUUCGCCAUUUAAAGUGGUACGCGAGCUGGGUUUAGAACGUCGUGAGACAGUUCGGUCCCUAUCUGCCGUGGGCGCUGGAGAAUUGAGGGGGGCUGCUCCUAGUACGAGAGGACCGGAGUGGACGCAUCACUGGUGUUCGGGUUGUCAUGCCAAUGGCACUGCCCGGUAGCUAAAUGCGGAAGAGAUAAGUGCUGAAAGCAUCUAAGCACGAAACUUGCCCCGAGAUGAGUUCUCCCUGAGACUUUAAGUCUCCUGAAGGAACGUUGAAGACGACGACGUUGAUAGGCCGGGUGUGUAAGCGCAGCGAUGCGUUGAGCUAACCGGUACUAAUGAACCGUGAGGCUUAACCUUACAACGCCGAAG